CUCAUCUCCGACGAGCUGCCGUUGCGUGCCCUCCGCCCCCUGCUUGAGUCAGAUCCGGACACCCCGGGCUCGCAUCCGGCCUCCACCGCCCACCUGGAUCCCUCCUCGUCAUAGGACACCAGCAGCAGGCGGUGGUCGAAAACAUGCCGAGACCGCCGUCACUGCAUCCACGCGUGGAGGUCGCCGUCGCCAGGACACCACCAACCCGAGGAGGAAGAGGUAUGGUUCCUCCCCCUGGCUGGCAUCGCUUCCCCCUGGACAAAGGCUGCUCAAUGCUGGUUGCUGCCUCGACCAGCACCCGCGCUCCGACCACUGCAUCGUCCUCUGUCUCGUGGCUCCGACGAGUUGCCUGCCCCGGUGAUUUGCCUCCUCUGCAUGCGACUUACCUCCUCUCUGAUCCGGUAGAUGCCCAUGAGUCUGGCAACAACUUCUGAGAAGGGGACUAUGAUUCGAGUAUAUAUCGUGGCACAAGCAACUAAGUCACAUAGGUUUCAGUGGGGAGCAUAUGCAUCAACAAUUUACUCGCUCUCAUUUGGGCUAUGCAUUGCUCAACCUGAUGCUUUUUCUGCCACAAGUUCAUCAGGCUCUUUGCACACGUUUUUCCUUGACGCAGCCAGAAAUGGAAGGUUGGCAACGCCUGCUACAAGGCUAGUGAUCUACUCACCUUGUGCAACCAUUUUCUUCACUCGUCUUGAAGACCUUAUAAGUUCAGUUUUGAAUUUAUAUUGUAUUGACCUAGAAAGGCUACAAAGUAAAGAUGCUACUUAGGAUGAUCUUUUCAUGUGUACGCAGUGCGUUGCACAUAUCUUAUUUGUGGAAAUGAUCUGUUACUAGGUUUGUAACAUACAAAUGUGAAGCAUCUAUGUUGAACGUUUUAUUGUUGGGUAUGAAUGGAUUUCAAUGCUAAGUCGAGAUAUCAGCUCAUGUCAGCUGUAAUGUAAAAGAAAUAAAUAGUAUCCCCCUUUUUUUUC